AGCGAGGUAUUAGUAAAACUUACGUAACUUUGUCGAAGUUAAAUUACGGAUGAGACUUCCGUAUAUCUCC
rnacentral:tRNA from 1 species